rnacentral:rRNA from 1 species
GACGAACGCUGGCGGCGUGCUUAACACAUGCAAGUCGAACGGAAAGGCCUGCUUUCCCUUGUGGAUUGCGGGUACUCGAGUGGCGAACGGGUGAGUAACACGUGAGUGAUCUGCCCCCAACUUGGGUAUAAGCCUGGGAAACUGGGUCUAAUUCCCGAUAGGACUGCAGGGUGGUGCCUGUGGUGGAAAACGAUUUUCUAGUGGUUGGGGAUGAGCUCGCGGCCUAUCAGCUUGUUGGUGGGGUAAUGGCCUACCAAGGCGGCGACGGGUAGCCGGCCUGGGAGGGGGGACGGGAACAUUGGGACUGGGAUACGGCCCCGACUCCUACGGGGGGCAGGAGUGGGGAAGAAUGGACAAAGGGCGGAAGCCUGAUGCAGCGACGCCGGGUGGGGGAUGACGGCCUUCGGGUUGUAAACUCCUUUCGACCGCGAGGAAGCCACCUGGUUGGAAGGGUGGUGACGGUAGCGGUAGAAGAAGCACCGGCUAACUACGUG